rnacentral:snoRNA from 1 species
UCUCAAAGUCAGGAGCCAGACUGGGUCUGAAUCUAAGCUAUACCACUCUACUGUAGCUGCGUGACUUUAGGCAAGUUAUUUAACUUCUCUGUGCCUCAGUUCCCCAUCUGUGGAAUGUGACAAUAAUAGUACUUAUUUCAGAUGGUUGUGGUGAAGACUA